GGCGAACGCUUGCGGCGUGCCUAAGAAAUGCAAGUCGAGCGGGGGAGCAAUCCCUAGCGGCGAACGGUCGCGUAACACGUAAGCAACCUGCCCGAAAGACCGGGACAACGUUUCGAAAGGAACGCUAAUACCGGAUGUGACCGUCUGUUUACCUGAACGGACGAUUAAAGCGCGAAAGUGGCUUUCGGAGGGGCUUGCGGCCUAUCAGCUAGAUGGCGGGUAACGGCCCACCAUGGCGACGACGGGUAGCUGGUCUGAGAGGAUGGUCAGCCGGACUGGGACUGAGAUACGGCCCAGACUCCUACGGGGGGCAGCAAUUAGGGAAUCUUGCGCAAUGGGCGAAAGCCUGACGCAGCGACGCCACGUGGGGGAGGAAGGCCUUCGGGGUUGUAAACCCCUUUUAUCGGGAAUGGAAACAAUGACAGUACCCGGUGAAUAAGCCCCGGCUAACUCCGUGCCAGCCCGCCGCCGUAAU
rnacentral:rRNA from 1 species